rnacentral:lncRNA from 13 species
UGAUGAUGUUGUAUAGUAUGAAUGAUAUCAGUAAAAUGCUUAAUUGAGUGUAUUAAAUUUAUGACACAAAAUAUACAAUGUUUUUAAAACAAAUAAUGAAUCAAUCCCUCCUCAGUAGUAGAAUCCUUACCAGUCAUAAAAAUACAAUUGAAUCGUCUUAUCUAAAUUAUUUGCCAGAAAGGGCAUAUUUACUAUGAUAUUACAAUUAAAGUUUAGAAAGUAGGCUGUUAAAGCACAUGAGUGGGUCAGGUUCACAUUUAGUAGAGAGGAGCACAGUUUAGAAGCCUACAGAACAGCAGUUAUCAAGAAGAUGCUGGAUGUAGAGCACCAGAUACUCAGAGACGCAUCUCUUCCUUAACGUCAAUGGAACUACAGCUGCUUGACGGGGGAAUAACCCCAAUCAUGACCCUUCAACCUCGUUUUAUCCAUCCAGUAAUCUCGAAGUGGUAAACCCUCUCUAGAACGCAAAACCACAACAAACAAAUCUAACCUCAGGACUUCGUAGAUCAAAAAGAGAGAUAACAGCAAGCUCAGCACCAAUGCGUGCUGGCCACUCCAAGGAAAUUUGCCGCAAACGAAAUGCUGUUACACUUUUAAGCAUCACGUUUCGACUGUGGGAAUUUUUGAAAGGUGAAGUGAUGGGUAUAUAACAUGAAAGAACAGGUGCAGACUGUCAAACUACAGUUCUGAUUCUCUGCGCUUCUCUUCGCCGUUAUUUACGACUCUAAACAAUAAGACCGAAAAGAUGCGCGCUGUGAUUUUGGUGACGGUUGGUCUGCUGGCGCUGAUUGGACACCUGGAUGGACGCGCUCAUGGCGAGAAACGACGCGACAGACCAAACUGUCUCCAACGGACGGUCUCUCCCAGACUGAUCAAGGAAUUACUCAACAAAACACAAACUCUCACAAACUCUUUACCAACGUUCCCCAGAAAAAUAUAUGAAAGACUUCUGCCCAAAAUCUGUACAACGUGUGCUAAGAAACAACUUGGCAUCUGGGAAAUCAACAAGAUAUUGGAUGUCUAUUCCAACGUGUUCAACCAGGAAUCUUUGGAAGGUCUCUACCCCAAACACUUUGAGGAUCUUCUGGCAAGGCUGAAAACAGAUGUCCAAUCUUGUCUGGUGGAGUGCCCAACUAGACCAACAUGGACCAAGACAACCAUCAGGAAGAUGGAGAACACAUUUAAGAAGGUGAAUAUGACUUAUCCAACCCUCUUACACAUCUCAACACGAUGCUUUAUGGCAAAACAAAACUCAUCUCUAGAUCUAAUUGACCUG